CGGGAUGAGCCAGGAGAACAGGAUUUUUCAGGGAUUUUUCUCUUACGUCCGACGUUCUUCACUCUAAUUGAAGCCCUGAGGAAGAGAAGCAAAUAGCGGAACAUUGCUUGAACAAAUACCCAGCUACUAAAAUGAAUACAGAAAAUGACCUUUUCAGCAUGGAAACGAACCUCUCGCUGUGGUGCCAUUUCCUGUCACUCGGCUCAAGGCAAAAGCUACUUUCAUUGUUUUACCACAUCAUUUCCCGACA